AUGCGGACAGAAGGAAUUCACAACAAGAUGAUGGCCUUCUACUGCCUGACUCUGUCGUUGACAUAUACAAGUGGCCAGAAGGUGGUGACCCAGCCUCCCAUUACGAGUGUGAGUCCGAAUGGAAUGUCCAGACUGGACUGUAACAUUCAGAGAGAUGACACUCAUGCUGUUCAUUGGCUGAAGCAGGUCCCAGGAAGCCAUCCUCAGUAUAUAUUAUGCUUCCGGGAGACCUGGAAAGCUGCUCUAUAUGGACCUGGCUUUACUUCCAGUCGGUUCACAUCAAUUGCCAAAAGCAGUGUAGAUUAUCAGCUUGUCAUUAGUAAUGUGGAGCUAUCAGACAGUGCUGUAUAUUUCUGUUACACCAUGGACAGCUCUCUUAACACUAUUGUAACACAGUGA